GGAAAGGCUGUGUAAUUGGCUCCUGGGGCCUCUCCCUCUUGCUCAGGAGGGCUCAGUGUCCAGCUGCCCCAGAGGCACAGGGGGAGGCCACAAGACAUGGAGACCAGAGAGGGAUGCCCGGGGCAGGAGCUGACAGGAGUCCACCUGAUACACCAGGAGCCAGAGCUGGAGCCAGGUCACCAGCCCUCAGUGAUCUCUCCUGAGGAGGGGCCCUGGAAUGACUCAGAUCGACAUCGGAGGAUGAACAGGUGAAGGACCUGGGCCUGUUUCACCUUGCACAAGAAUUGUGCCAUCGCAGUCCCUGUCUCCAGCUAUCAGAAGGGCUCUUAAGGAGGAGAGGGAAUACACUCAUCCUGCUUAGCUCCUGAAGGAAGGCCAGAGACUGGAGGGCAGAAUUCCCUCUGCAGCAUCUUCUGCUGAAAUGUUCCUCCUCUUUUCUGAAGCCCACUCCACAGCUAAAAUCCGGCGCCUCCUCAAGCCUUCCCACACAGGACAGAGCCUGGGUCUCUCCUUUGCCUUUAUCACAUCAUAUCGAUACCACAUGCCUGUGUGGACGUCAGAGCCUCCCUGUUAGAAUGUAAGCUCCGCAAGGGUAGGAACUGCUAAGUUUUUUCAGCUUCAUGUUCCCAGAACACAUUCAGUCAUGUCAGUCAUGUCCGACUCUCUGUGACCCCACUGGGGCUUCCUUGGCAGAGAUACUGGA